rnacentral:rRNA from 1 species
CCUACGGGAGGCAGCAGUGAGGAAUAUUGGUCAAUGGGCGCGAGCCUGAACCAGCCAAGCAGCGUGAAGGAUGACUGCCCUCCGGGUUGUAAACUUCUUUUAUAAAGGAAUAAAGUGAGGCACGUGUGCCUUUUUGUACGUACUUUAUGAAUAAGGCUCGGCUAACUCUGUGCCAGCAGCCGCGGUAAUACGGAGGAUCCGAGCGUUAUGCGGAUUUAGGGGGUUUAAUGGGAGCGUAGAUGGGUUGUUGAGCCAGUUGUGAAAGUUUCCGGGUUAACCGUAAAAUUGCAAUUGAUACUGGCAGCCUUGAGUACAGGUGAGGAAGGCGGAAUUCGUGGUGUAGCGGUGAAAUGCUUAGAUAUCACGAAGAACUCCGAUUGCGAAGGCAGCCUACUAAACUGCCACUGACAUUGAUGCUCGAAAGUGUGGGUAUCAAACAGGAUUAGAUACCCGAGUAGUC